UGCGUAGGCGGAUAGAUAAGUCAGAGGUGAAAGCCUCCCGCUCAACGGGAGAACUGCCUUUGAUACUGUUUAUCUUGAAUGAGGUUGAGGUUAGCGGAAUGUGACAUGUAGCGAUGAAAUGCAUAGAUAUGUCAUAGAACACCAAUUGCGUAGGCAGCUAGCUAGGCCUUUAUUGACACUGAGGCACGAAAGCGUGGGGAGCGAACAGGAUUAGAUACCCUGGUAGUCC
rnacentral:rRNA from 1 species